CGCUGAAAGCAUCUAAGCGGGAAGCGAGCCUUGAGAUGAGUUCUCCCUGAUACUUUAAGUAUCCUAAAGGGUUGUCGUAGACUACGACGUUGAUAGGCAGGGUGUGUAAGCGUUGUGAGGCGUUGAGCUAACCUGUACUAAUUGCCCGUGAGGCUUAACCAU
rnacentral:rRNA from 1 species